UGUGCUGUGGCUCAGUGGCAGAGCGCUUGCCUCACGCAUAUGAGGCAUUGGGUUUGAUCCUCAGCACCACAU
rnacentral:tRNA from 1 species